CCUACGGGUGGCAGCAGUGAGGAAUAUUGGUCAAUGGACGCAAGUCUGAACCAGCCAUGCCGCGUGCAGGAAGACGGCUCUAUGAGUUGUAAACUGCUUUUGUACGAGGGUAAACGCAGAUACGCGUAUCUGUCUGAAAGUAUCGUACGACUAAGGAUCGGCUAACUCCGUGCCAGCAGCCGCGGUAAUACGGAGGAUUCAAGCGUUAUCCGGAUUUAUUGGGGUUAAAGGGUGCGUAGGCGGUCGGAUAAGUUAGAGGUGAAAUUCCGGGGCUCAACUUCGGAAUUGCCUCUGAUACUGGUCGGCUAGAGAGUAGUUGAGGUAGGCGGAAUGUAUGGUGUAGCGGUGAAAUGCGUAGAGAUCAUACAGAACACCGAUUGCGAAGGCAGCUUACCAAGCUACUUCUGACGUUGAGGCACGAAAGCGUGGGGAGCAAACAGGAUUAGAUACCCUGGUAGUC
rnacentral:rRNA from 1 species